UCUUUUUGCGGUCUGGGCUUGC
rnacentral:miRNA from 1 species